AUUGAACGCUGGCUGCAUGCCUUACACAUGCAAGUCGAACGGCAUCAGGGAUGAGCUUGCUCCUCAGCGGGCAACGGGCGAACGGUAGAUCAAAACGUCCCAAAGCGUCGAGAAUAAGGAGAUAACCGUCCUAAUGGGAGGGUAAUACAUCUUAAGUUCAGAGGAAGAAAGCUGGGGACCUAGCGAUAAGGCUACGGCUUAUGGAGCAGUCGAUGGCGGAUGAGAUAGAUGGUGAGGUAAAGGCUCACCAGGGCGAAGAUCUGUAGCGGGACUGAGAGGAUGAUCCGCCACACUGGGACUGAAACCCGGCCCAAACUCCUACGGGAGGCAUCAGUGGGGAAUUUUGGACAAUGGGGGCAACCCUGAUCCAGCCAUGCCGCGUGUAUGAAGAAGGCCUUAGGGUUGGAAAGUACUUUUGUUACGCAGGAAAAGACCUGUGGGACUAGAGGCUGGCACUGACGGAACCUACGGAAUAUACACCGGCUAACUACGUGCCAGCAGCCGCGGGAAUACGUAAGGCGCAAGCGUUGGUCGGAAUUAUUGCGCGUACAGCGAGUGUAGACAGAUAUUUAAUCCCGAUGUGAAAUACCCGAGCCGAACUUGUGAGGGGCAUUUGGAACUGGGGAACAAGAGUGUGGCAUACGGAGGUAGAACUCCGCGUGUAGCAGUGAAAUGCGUAGAUAUGUGGAAGAACACCGAUGGCGAAGGCAGCCUCCUGGGAUAGCACUGACGCUGAUGCUCGAAAGCGUGGGGAGCAAACAGGAUUAGAUACCCUGGUAGUCCACGCCCUAAACGAUGACAAUUGGCUGUUGGCCCCUCUAUGGGGCGAGUACCAAACCUAACGCGGGAAAUUGCCCGCCGGGGGAGUACGGCCCCAAGAUUAAAACUCAAAGGAAUUGACGGGGACCCCCACAAGCGGGGGAUGAGGGGGAUUAAUUCAAUGCACCGCAAAAAACCUUACCUGCUCUUGACUUGAACGAAACGUUUUAAAAAUAAGAAUGGGUCUUCAGAAACUGUAACACCGGGGCUGCAUGGGUGGCCUCCGCUCCUGGCGUGAGAUGAGAGGUUAAGUCCCCCAACGAGCGCCACCCUUGGCAUUAAUUGGCAUCAUUAAAAAGGGCACUCUAAUGAGACCGCCGGUGACAAACCGGAGGAAGGUGGGGAUGAUGUCAAGUCAUCAUGGCCCUUAUGGCCAGGGCUUCACACGUCAUACAAUGGUAGGUACAGAGGGUAGCCAACCGGCGACGGGGAGCCAAUCUCAGAAAGCCUAUCGUAGUCCGGAUUGCAGUCUGCAACUCGACUACAUGAAGUCGGAAUCGCUAGUAAUCGCAGAUCAGAAUGUUGCGGUGAAUACGUUCCCGGGUCU
rnacentral:rRNA from 1 species